rnacentral:rRNA from 1 species
AUUCCAGCUCCAAUAGCGUAUAUUAAAGUUGUUGCAGUUAAAAAGCUCGUAGUUGGAUUUCUGGCGGGAGCGGCCUGUCCUGCCCUUUGCGGGGUUGAGCACAAGCGCUUCUGGCAUUCAGUUGUCGGACUCGGGAUCCGCAUCGUUUACUGUGAAAAAAUUAGAGUGUUUAAAGCAGGCAUUUGCUUGAAUACAUUAGCAUGGAAUAAUAAGAUAGGACUUAGUCGUUAUUUUGUUGGUCUUGCACGUCUAGGUAAUGAUUAAUAGGGAUAGUUGGGGGUAUUCAUAUUUAAUUGUCAGAGGUGAAAUUCUUGGAUUUAUGAAAGAUGAACUUAUGCGAAAGCAUUUACCAUGGAUGUUUUCAUCA